GGGAGCUUGGCUCAGUUGGAAGAGCGCAGGUCUCAUACUUUGUAUGAUCUGAUUAAACAUCAGAGUAAUCCUGAGGUCGUGAGUUCGAGCCUCACAGUUCCCA
rnacentral:tRNA from 1 species